GAUACCAACGAUAAUGCAAGAACAUAGUUUAUAUUGGUCAAUGACCCAAAUUUACAAUGAUCUAUUGAAUCUCAACCUCCAAAUGAAAAGAAUCUACACAAUUUCCAUCAACAUAUAAGAGCAACAUAGAUCCAAAACCAAUGAUAUCAUAAUCAAAUGCACAGCCAAUCCAUAUAAAAGAAGUAACAGAAUACACCAAAAUUUUCCAUAAUUAACAAAUGACCUGUGAUUAUACAACGAAGUAGAAG
rnacentral:misc_RNA from 1 species